AUGGCUCAGGACGAACGCUGGCGGCGUGCCUAAUACAUGCAAGUCGAGCGAAUCGAUGGGAGCUUGCUCCCUGAGAUUAGCGGCGGACGGGUGAGUAACACGUGGGCAACCUGCCUAUAAGACUGGGAUAACUUCGGGAAACCGGAGCUAAUACCGGAUACGUUCUUUUCUCGCAUGAGAGAAGAUGGAAAGACGGUUUACGCUGUCACUUAUAGAUGGGCCCGCGGCGCAUUAGCUAGUUGGUGAGGUAAUGGCUCACCAAGGCGACGAUGCGUAGCCGACCUGAGAGGGUGAUCGGCCACACUGGGACUGAGACACGGCCCAGACUCCUACGGGAGGCAGCAGUAGGGAAUCUUCCGCAAUGGACGAAAGUCUGACGGAGCAACGCCGCGUGAACGAAGAAGGCCUUCGGGUCGUAAAGUUCUGUUGUUAGGGAAGAACAAGUACCAGAGUAACUGCUGGUA
rnacentral:rRNA from 2 species